AAGUACAGAGGGUUACCUAUUCAGCCCUUGGGGAGCUUUGAGCAACACUCAUAACAGUGUACUUUUGACAUAGGACCUCUGAGUGAGUGCAAAAAGCAAGGAGAUAGGUGUGGAGAGUAAGAUCUGUUCAGAAACUUGGAAUGAUCUAGUGUGGCUGGAUGGGACCAUGUCUGUGAGGAAGUUCCAGAAGGGACUGUAGAGGUGUGCUGGGGCCAGAUCAUGAAGGGCCUUGUGCAACAUUAAGGAGGUGAAACUUUCACCUGAAAGUGAUGGUGAAGCACCGAUGGAUUUUUAGGAAAAUAUUUUGGGAGAAAUCCUGAUGAGUUAAGGCCCCCUCUAUACUACCCAUUUUUACAUUUCAUUUAAAAAUUAUAUGAAAAUAUGACAUGAACUGUUAGUUAUGGAGGAUAUAAAGUUGGAUGUUGCUUGUAUUAACAAGAAAAACUAUGCAAUACUUUAACUCCAGGUCAGGAUUCUUUAACAACUGACAUCUUAAGGCAACAUUGGUUCUCUGAGAAAGUGAAAGUUUUGCUGGCUGGAUCAGGAAAAGGAAGUGAUGCCUGGAAAUGGAGUAGCCAUCUAAGGGAUGAUAUCAAAAGCCACAUGCUGAGCAUUGUGAAGGGAAGAGGUUGAAGGAGCAGCAAGCAGUUGCACUAGUCCUGGACUUGUGAGUUACGGAUUUCUUGUGACGUGAGAAAAAUAAACCCCUUUUUGGUCAAACCCUGUUGGCCAGCUUUUUAUUACAGGAAGGCAAACUGAAUCCUCACUGGCUCAAGUGACUUGCUCACAGCCAUCAAACUAGUGAUGACAGCCAGGAUUAAGACUUGGAUCUGUUUCACUUCAAAGGCCAUGCUCUUUCCAGGCUAUUGGGCAACUUCAAGGUUUGUUACUCUUUCUAUGUACUUCUCAUUUUAGCUUCCUGGAGGCUGGGAAAGUGUUCAGGAACUCACAGACUCUUAC
rnacentral:lncRNA from 1 species